rnacentral:rRNA from 1 species
CUUACCCGGUUUUAACUUCAGCAGGAAGCAUCAAAAGAGGGGUGUUGCUUUGGGGUCGAAAACCCGGGGGUGCAGGGGUGUUGUCCGCCUCUUGUUUGAGAUGUUGGGUUAAAUCCCCCAACGAGCGCCACCCUCCUUCUUAGUUGCCAGCGGUUAAUGGUGGGGACUCUUAGGAGACCGCCGGGGAAAAACCGGAGGAAGGGGGGGAUGACGUCAAAUUAUCAUGCCCCUUUCUUCCGGGGGUUCCCCCUUUGUAAAAUGGUGGGUACAAAGGGGUGCCAACCCGCGAGGGGGAGCCAAUCCCAUAAAACCCGUCUCAGUUCGGAUUGGGGUCUGCAACUCGACCCCAUGAAGUCGGAAUCGUAAUAAUCAAAU